rnacentral:rRNA from 1 species
CCUACGGGAGGCAGCAGUGGGGAAUAUUGCACAAUGGGGGGAACCUUGAUGCAGCAACGCCGCGUGGGUGAAGAAGUACUCCGGUAUGUAAAGCCCUGUCAGCAGGGAAGAAAAUGACGGUACCUGACCAAGAAGCCCCGGCUCACUGCGUGCCAGCAGCCGCGGUGAUACGUAGGGGGCAAGCGUUAUGCGGAUUUACUGGGUGUAAAGGGAGCGUAGGCGGCAAGGCAAGUCUGGAGUGAAAGCCCGUGGCCCAAACACGGGACUGCUUUGGAAACUGGGUUGCUGGAGUGGAGGAGGGGUAAGCGGAAUGCGUGGUGUAGCGGGGAAAUGCGUAGAUAUUAGGAAGAACACCGAUGGCGAAGGCGGCAUACUGGACUGUAACUGACGUUGAGGCACGAAGGCGUGGGGAGCGAACAGGAUUAGAUACCCGAGUAGUC